rnacentral:rRNA from 1 species
UACGGGAGGGGCGAGCGUUUAAUCGGAAUUACUGGGCGUAAAGCGUGCGCAGGCGGUUUUGUAAGUCUGACGUGAAAUCCCCGGGCUCAACCUGGGAAUUGCGUUGGAGACUGCAAGGCUAGAAUCUGGCAGAGGGGGGGUAGAAUUCCACGUGUAGCAGUGAAAUGCGUAGAUAUGUGGAGGAACACCGAUGGCGAAGGCAGCCCCCUGGGUCAAGAUUGACGCUCAUGCACGAAAGCGUGGGGAGCAAACAGG